GUGUUUCGUGCAGUUUCAUUGCAGUUUGACAGCAUCGGCAGUAUCAUAAAAACGACAGCCAUAUUUAGAUUUGGUCCGAGCGGUGUACUGAAAGACCAGUAUUAAACACUGUGGAAAAGACACAGCUGGAUGAGUUGUUUGUAUCUUAAUCAAAUAGUUAUUGAGAUAAUUUACCAUAGCCGCAGGAAGUAGUUUGUGGGUGGGGUGCUGCGAGUUUUUUGCCCGCGCUGAAGAUUCAAUAUUGGUCCUCUAAUACAGGACUAGUAAAGGCCUAGUGCACUACUUUUGUGGAAAGAAAAUGCGAUCUUAUCCAGAGCAACUUACAGUAAUGAGUGGGAAUCAAACCCACAACCCGAGCAUUGAGAACUGCAUUUGCCUGAGAACUUAGUGUUGACAUAACAUGAAGCGAUUGGGCUUUGUUGUCCUUGUACUUCUCCUGAUGCUUUUGGCUGUUUAGGCUGAUGAUGCAGAGAUGUAAUAUUGGACGUGUGGUUAUAGAGGACUCUGCAGACGGUUGUGUUAUGCCCAAGAAUAUAUUGUUGGACACUUCGGUUGUCCUCGCAGAUACAGGUGCUGUGUUGUGCGGUUUUAGCAGUGACUGACAGUCUAAUGAUACCUGUAACAGGACAUCACAGGCUGAUGAUUGGUCUGCUUCUUUGACAUGGAUUCUUUUGGACAAAGCCUACUGUGAUCAAAUUGCAAGCCUCUUGGUAAACGACAAUGACAAUGUUUUGGGGGAAUUUUUAGCUGAUGUCGAGAUCAAUGUACAAUAUCUUGCUAUGGAAUCUGAAGUAUGUAGUUAACUUGAUGUGACUGCUUGAAGUGACUGCUUUGAUUACAGUACAUUUGACAUAAUACAUGGUAAUGCAACUAAAAUAGAGUUCAUUUGAAACGCAAUACCCAUAUGAUUAAAAUAAUCUGUAAAAUACUGUAGGAUCAAUCACAGUGAAAUUAUUUCCAUAACUAUUAUCAAUGCAUUUUCAAACAGUUGAUAUGUGCUUUGGAAAUGAGUGGUUGACAAUACACGUGUAUCAAUACUUUCUUUGUUGUUUAGUUUUCUAUUAAAAAUUUCAGGUCUUCUAAUUAUAUAAUGUUAGAUGAUGAAUUCCACUCUGUCGACCAGACUUUGAUUCUUAAAAUGAGGGUUUCAGGUACUCCAUUUUACAUCCUUUGUCUGAUGUAAUGCUGUUAGUCAAUAAUAUUGUCAUGUUGCUUUGGAAGGAGAGAAAGAUAUGACUAUAAGGUAUUGAUUGAUGCAUGCACUCUGAACAGUGGUUGAAUCAAUAUAAAAAAGAGAAAAAGAA